rnacentral:rRNA from 1 species
UCCUGGCUUAGGACGAACGCUGGCGGCGUGCUUAACACAUGCAAGUCGAACGGAGGAUUAUUCGGUAAAUCCUUAGUGGCGAACGGGUGAGUAACGCGUGGGCAAUCUGCCCUCAGAUGGGGACAACAUCCCGAAAGGGGUGCUAAUACCGAAUACCAUCGUAUUCCCGCAUGGCGGUGUGAUGAAAGAUGGCCUCUAUUUAUAAGCUAUCGCUGAAGGAUGAGCCUGCGUCUGAUUAGCUAGUUGGUGGGGUAACGGCCUACCAAGGCGAUGAUCAGUAGCCGGUCUGAGAGGAUGAACGGCCACAUUGGGACUGAGACACGGCCCAAACUCCUACGGGAGGCAGCAGUGGGGAAUAUUCCGCAAUGGACGAAAGUCUGACGGAGCAACGCCGCGUGAGUGAAUGAAGGUUUUCGGACUGUAAAGCUCUGUUGUUUAGGACGAAAGUGCCUGUUGCGAACAGUUACAGGUAUUGACGGUACUGAACGAGGAAGCCACGGCUAACUACGUGCCAGCCGCUGC